rnacentral:ncRNA from 1 species
CCUCGGGGAGCCUUCACCGGCUGAGAUGCGCAAGCGAACCCGUCGAACCUGAACCGGAUCAUACCGGCGGAGGGAAGGUGC